rnacentral:rRNA from 1 species
CCCUUAGAUGUCCGGGGCUGCACGCGCGCUACACUGAAGGAAUCAGCGUGCUAAAACCAUUGUCGAAAGGCAUUGGUAAACCCAUUAAAAUCCUACGUGAUUGGGAUCGGGAAUUGCAAUUAUUUCCCUUGAACGGGGAAUUCCCAGUAAGUGUGGGUCAUAAGCUCGCGUUGAUUACGUCCCUGCCCUUUGUACACACCGCCCGUCGCUGCCCGGGACUGAGCCGUUUCGAGAAAAGCGGGGACUGCUGCUGUCGGGGCUUUCGGGCCUUGGCUUCGGUGGAAACCGCUUUAAUCGCAGUGGCUUGAACCGGGCAAAANUCGUAACA